AAACAAAGAUGAUAAAAAGAACAU
rnacentral:snRNA from 1 species